rnacentral:rRNA from 1 species
AUUGAACGCUGGCGGCAUGCCUUACACAUGCAAGUCGAACGGUAGAGGGGGCAACCCCUUGAGAGUGGCGAACAGGUGAGUAAUGCAUCGGAACGUGCCCAGUCGUGGGGGAUAGCCCGGGGAAACCCGGAUUAAUACCGCAUACGACCUGAGGGUGAAAGCGGGGGACCGAAAGGCCUCGCGCGAUUGGAGCGGCCGAUGUCGGAUUAGGUAGUUGGUGGGGUAAAGGCCUACCAAGCCUGCGAUCCGUAGCUGGUCUGAGAGGACGACCAGCCACACUGGGACUGAGACACGGCCCAGACUCCUACGGGAGUCAGCAGUGGGUAAUUUUGGACAAUGGGCGCAAGCCUGAUCCAGCCAUGCCGCGUGCGGGAAGAAGGCCUUCGGGUUGUAAACCGCUUUUGUCAGGGAAGAAAUCCUUUGGACUAAUACUCUGGGGGGAUGACGGUACCUGAAGAAUAAGCACCGGCUAACUACGUGCCAGCCGCCGCAGUAA